AUGUCACUAGGUGAUAGUUUGAGUGCCGGAAAGUGCCUAAAACGCAAAUUAAUUACAGAAUUCCGCACUUUCAGUAACAAAUCAGCUUUUAACACACUCAUAUUAUACAGAAGUAUUGACUAAAUGGUCCUGGACACUUUCCUAAGUGUUGGAAUUAAUUUCGUUACAAAAAGAUGCACAAAAGACGCUAUACGGGACAAUUAAACGCUUUAACGGAACGAUGCGAAACCGAACAACCAGACAUUACCCGAGACAUGAAAAUAUUGUCAGAAAUAUUAUUUUAUCAUUUUAAAUUAUUUAUGGUCACCAAAAAUCCCUAUACACCAUGUUAAUAUGACAUACACCCACUAUACUUGAAAAUACCCUUAACCUUCUAACUUAUUACCUACUAAUUACCAAAAAUUUACAUUUUACCCCC
rnacentral:lncRNA from 1 species